GGUGAACGUUGGCGGUGCGCCUAAUACAUGCAAGUCGAGCGAGGCUUCGAGCCGAGCGGCAGACGGCUGAGUAACACGUUGGUAACUACCCCAAACGCAGGGACAACGCCGAGAAAUCGGUGCUAAUACCGGAUGGUCCCGUAAGGGCAAAGUUUUUAUGGUUUGAGAGGUGCCUGCGUCCUAUCAGGUAGUUGGUGAGGUAACGCCUCACCAAGCCUAUGACGGGUAACUGGGCUGAGAGGAUGACCAGCCAGCGGGAAACUGAGGCACCGUUCCCACUUCUACGGAAGGGAGCGGUAAAGUAUCUUCCACACUGGACGAGAGUCAGAUGGAGCUACGGCGCGUGCAGGAUUGAGACCAUUGGAUCAUAAACGGGUUUUUUGCGGGAAAAAUUCCGAUUGUACCCUAAGAAUAAGCACCGGCUAACCACGUG
rnacentral:rRNA from 1 species